UCUAAACCUGGAAUAUGUGGAAACUAUUCCCUAUGUACAAUGGAUCGUGGUCAAGUCAUCUGUCAGUGUGAAGAAGGGUAUAGGGCUGGACCUCCUGGGGAAAAUGGCUGUAUCCCAGUUUCAUCGUCAACUACCGUUGUAACCACACCAUCUACACACAAGAGUUCAACAACAACACCGAUUGUGUCAACAUCGACAAAGCAGUCAAACAGGCUGACCACGCCUCCAACUCACACAAUGUCCAUGCACAAGCCAGUGGAAAGUCAUGGUAACCUCAUAUUCAUGUUUACAGGAACUUCGUCAAAACCAGAAACUUCAGAGAAGACGUCACCAGGUUCUCCAUUAGGCCAAACAACCACCUCA